AGUACAAUAAAAAGAUUUCCAAAACUCUUUCCUUAUCUAAAGUCUUAAAUAGAUUCUCUAAUCCAUUUACAUUGUUUUGUAGGAUACAAAUAAAAGUAGGAAACUAUGCCUACACAUCCUAGGAAGAUUGCCAAUCAAGGAAGCACAAAGGAAGCAAGUAGGAGUGCAUUGUGCAGCCAACCAUGUAGCUGAUUUGAAGCAUGUUUUCUACAAUCCAGCUGCCACGUUUUCCACAUUUUCCAUGUGCAAAACAGCCAACCAUGGCUUCCCCUUGUUGCAGCACAUUCUCCACGCUUUCCACGUGAUAAAUGAGUUUCUCAUGGGAAUUGAAACACACGUGGAUCAAAGCUUAUGCUGCACAUGCUUUGUAAAUCUUAGUAGCUUCCCUAGCAAGAUUCAUAGCCUCUCUUAUUCUAUAAAAGAGAGCUUCCUCAUGUGUAAAUAUUAACUUGAAU
rnacentral:lncRNA from 1 species